rnacentral:rRNA from 1 species
AUUGAACGCUAGCGGCAUGCUUUACACAUGCAAGUCGAACGGUAACAGGCCGCAAGGUGCUGACGAGUGGCGAACGGGUGAGUAAUGCAACGGAACGUGCCCAGUCGUGGGGGAUAACUACUCGAAAGAGUAGCUAAUACCGCAUACGAUCUAUGGAUGAAAGCGGGGGACCGUAAGGCCUCGCGCGAUUGGAGCGGCCGAUGUCAGAUUAGGUAGUUGGUGGGGUAAAGGCUCACCAAGCCAACGAUCUGUAGCUGGUCUGAGAGGACGACCAGCCACACUGGGACUGAGACACGGCCCAGACUCCUACGGGAGGCAGCAGUGGGGAAUUUUGGACAAUGGGCGCAAGCCUGAUCCAGCAAUGCCGCGUGCAGGAAGAAGGCCUUCGGGUUGUAAACUGCUUUUGUACGGAACGAAACGGCUCUGGUUAAUACCCGGGGCUAAUGACGGUACCGUAAGAAUAAGCACCGGCUAACUACGUG